GAUGAACGCUGGUGGCGUGCCUAAUACAUGCAAGUCGAGCGAACCACUUCGGUGGUGAGCGGCGAACGGGUGAGUAACACGUAGGUGAUCUGCCCAUCAGACGGGGACAACGAUUGGAAACGAUCGCUAAUACCGGAUAGGACGAAAGUUUAAAGGUGCUUCUGACACCGCUGAUGGAUGAGCCUGCGGCGCAUUAGCUAGUUGGUAGGGUAAAGGCCUACCAAGGCGACGAUGCGUAGCCGACCUGAGAGGGUGAACGGCCACACUGGGACUGAGACACGGCCCAGACUCCUACGGGAGGCAGCAGUAGGGAAUCUUCGGCAAUGGGCGAAAGCCUGACCGAGCAACGCCGCGUGAAUGAUGAAGGCCUUCGGGUUGUAAAAUUCUGUUAUAAGGGAAGAACGACUUUAGUAGGAAAUGGCUAGAGUGUGACGGUACCUUAUGAGAAAGCCACGGCUAACUACGUGCCAGCCGCCGCAGUAA
rnacentral:rRNA from 1 species